rnacentral:rRNA from 1 species
AAACCAUCUUCGGAUGGCAGACAGUGGCAAACGGGUGAGUAACACGUGGGAAUGUACCUUUUGGUUCGGGACAACAGUUGGAAACGACUGCUAAUACCGGAUAAGCUCUACGGAGGAAAGAUUUAUCGCCAAAAGAUCAGCCCGCGUAAGAUUAGCUAGUUGGUAGGGUAAUGGCCUACCAAGGCAACGAUCUUUAGCUGGUUUGAGAGGAUGAUCAGCCACACUGGGACUGAGAUACGGCCCAGACUCC